rnacentral:rRNA from 1 species
AAAGCAUAACAGGGAUUGCCUUAGUAACGGCGAGUGAAGCGGCAAUAGCUCAAAUUUGAAAGCUGGCCCCUUCGGGGUCCGCGUUGUAAUUUGUAGAGGAUGAUUCGGCGAGGGCUCCCGUCUAAGUCCCUUGGAACAGGGCGUCAUAGAGGGUGAGAAUCCCGUAUGUGAUGGGCUGCCUUAGCCAUGUGAAUCUCCUUCGACGAGUCGAGUUGUUUGGGAAUGCAGCUCUAAAUGGGAGGUAAAUUUCUUCUAAAGCUAAAUACCGGCCAGAGACCGAUAGCGCACAAGUAGAGUGAUCGAAAGAUGAAAAGCACUUUGGAAAGAGAGUUAAAAAGUACGUGAAAUUGUUGAAAGGGAAGCGCUUGCAGCCAGACUUGUCCGCAGUUGCUCAGCUUGUCUCCUGACAGGCGUACUCUUCUGCGGCCAGGCCAGCAUCAGUUCGGGCGGUCGGAUAAAGACCUGGGGAAUGUAGCUCCUCUCGGGGAGUGUUAUAGCCCUGGGUGCAAUGCGGCCAGCCUGGACUGAGGAUCUCGCUUCGGCUAGGAUGCUGGCGUAAUGGCUGUAAGCGGCCCGUCUUGAAACACGGACCAAGGAGUCUAACAUCUAUGCGAGUGUUUGGGUGUCAAACCCAUGCGCGUAAUGAAAGUGAACGGAGGUGGGAACCCUCACGGGUGCACCAUCGACCGAUCCUGAUGUCUUCGGAUGGAUUUGAGUAAGAGCAUAGCUGUUGGGACCCGAAAGAUGGUGAACUAUGCCUGAAUAGGGUGAAGCCAGAGGAAACUCUGGUGGAGGCUCGCAGCGGUUCUGACGUGCAAAUCGAUCGUCAAAUUUGGGUAUAGGGGCGAAAGACUAAUCGAACCAUCUAGUAGCUG